UUCUCCUACGGGAGGCAGCAGUAGGGAAUCUUCCACAAUGGGCGCAAGCCUGAUGGAGCAACACCGCGUGAGUGAAGAAGGGUUUCGGCUCGUAAAGCUCUGUUGUUAAAGAAGAACACGUAUGAGAGUAACUGUUCAUACGUUGACGGUAUUUAACCAGAAAGUCACGGCUAACUACGUGCCAGCAGCCGCGGUAAUACGUAGGUGGCAAGCGUUAUCCGGAUUUAUUGGGCGUAAAGAGAGUGCAGGCGGUUUUACUAAGUCUGAUGUGAAAGACUUCGGCUCAACCGGAGAAGUGCAUCGGAAACUGGCUAACUUGAGGCAGAAG
rnacentral:rRNA from 1 species